GCGUGAUUGAUGAAGGCCUUAGGGUUGUAAAGAUCUUUCAACAGUGAAGAUAAUGACGGUAACUGUAGAAGAAGCCCCGGCUAACUCCGUGCCAGCAGCCGCGGUAAUACGGAGGGGGCUAGCGUUGUUCGGAAUUACUGGGCGUAAAGCGCGCGUAGGCGGAUUAUUAAGUCAGAGGUGAAAUCCCGGAGCUCAACUCCGGAACUGCCUUUGAUACUGGUAAUCUAGAGGUCGAGAGAGGUGAGUGGAAUUCCGAGUGUAGAGGUGAAAUUCGU
rnacentral:rRNA from 1 species